GAGUUGCGAACGGGUGAGUAACGCGUAGGUAACCUGCCUGGUAGCGGGGGAUAACUAUUGGAAACGAUAGCUAAUACCGCAUGACAACAGUUAUUGCAUGAUAGCUGUUUAAAAGGGGCAAUUGCUCCACUACCAGAUGGACCUGCGUUGUAUUAGCUAGUUGGUGGGGUAACGGCUCACCAAGGCAACGAUACAUAGCCGACCUGAGAGGGUGAUCGGCCACACUGGGACUGAGACACGGCCCAGACUCC
rnacentral:rRNA from 1 species